GCGCCCGUAGCUCAACCGGAUAGAGCACCGGCCUUCUAAGCCGGUGGUUGCAGGUUCGAUUCCUGCCGGGCGCACCA
rnacentral:tRNA from 1 species